ACGCUCGACACCUACUGGAGGCAGCAGUGGGGAAUAUUGCACAAUGGGGGAAACCCUGAUGCAGCGACGCCGCGUGAAGGAAGAAGUAUCUCGGUAUGUAAACUUCUAUCAGCAGGGAAGAAAAUGACGGUACCUGACUAAGAAGCCCCGGCUAACUACGNGCCAGCAGCCGCGGUAAUCUGAGCGGCUGGCAAGGC
rnacentral:rRNA from 1 species